UACGGAGGGUGCGAGCGUUGUCCGGAAUCAUUGGGCGUAAAGGGCGCGUAGGUGGCCUGGUCAGUUCGUGGUGAAAGCGCGGGGCUCAACCCCGCGUCGGCCAUGAAUACUGCGAGGCUGGAGCACUGUAGAGGCAGGCGGAAUUCCGGGUGUAGCGGUGGAAUGCGUAGAGAUCCGGAAGAACACCGGUGGCGAAGGCGGCCUGCUGGGCAGUUGCUGACACUGAGGCGCGACAGCGUGGGGGGCAAACAGG
rnacentral:rRNA from 1 species